rnacentral:piRNA from 1 species
UGGUGACGUUUGCUUCCUCCACGCUG